ACGGAAGGCAGCAGUGGGGAAUAUUGCACAAUGGGCGCAAGCCUGAUGCAGCGAUGCCGCGUGAGGGAAGAAGGUUUUCGGAUUGUAAACCUCUGUCAGCAGGGACGAAAAUGACGGUACCUGUGAAGGAAGCUCCGGCUAACUACGUGCCAGCAGCCGCGGUAAUACGUAGGGAGCAAGCGUUAUCCGGAAUUACUGGGUGUAAAGGGAGUGUAGGCGGGUCUGCAAGUCAGAUGUGAAAUAUGCCGGCUCAACCGGGAGACUGCUUUUGAAACUGCGGUUCUUGAGUGCAGUAGAGGUAAGCGGAAUUCCUAGUGUAGCGGUGAAAUGCGUAGAUAUUAGGAGGAACAUCAGUGGCGAAGGCGGCUUACUGGGCUUUAACUGACGCUGAGGCUCGAAAGCGUGGGGAGCAAACAGGAUUAGAUACCCUGGUA
rnacentral:rRNA from 1 species